rnacentral:sRNA from 4 species
AUGCUCCUAGUGUUGUGUUAAGUGUUGGCAGAUAGCCGGGUGGGCCGAAAGGCGCCCCGGCAUUGAACCCCCGGACCUUCCUCCUCCCCCACGUGAAGGCCGGGGCUUUUUUUCGCCUGCGC